rnacentral:misc_RNA from 1 species
GAAAUGCGAUAAGUAAUGUGAAUUGCAGAAUUCAGUGAAUCAUCGAAUCUUUGAACGCACCUUGCGCUCCUUGGUAUUCCUUGGAGCAUGCCUGUUUGAGUAUCAUGAAAUCUUCAAAGUAAAUCUUUUGUUAACUCAAUUGGUUUCUACUUUGGUAUUGGAGGUCUUUGCAGCUUCACACCUGCUCCUCUUUGUUCAUUAGCUGGAUCUCAGUGUUAUGCUUGGUUCCACUCGGCGUGAUAAGUUAUCUAUCGCUGAGGACACUGUAAAAGGUGCCCAAGGUAAAUGCAGAUGAACCGCUUCUAAUAGUCCAUUGACUUGGACAAUACUUUUAUGAUCUGAUCUCAAAUCAGGUAGGACUACCCGCUGAACUUAAGC